AAUAAUUUAUUUGAUGGUUUCUUACUACAUGGAUAACUGUAGUAAUUCUAGAGCUAAUACAUGCGUAAAGUCCCGACUCUCGCUGGGAGGGAUGUAUUUAUUAGAUAAAAAACCAAUGCGGGCUCUGCCCGGUUUUGUGGUGAAUCAUAGUAACUUUUCGAAUCGCAUGGCUUCACGCCGGCGAUAGUUCAUUCAAAUUUCUGCCCUAUCAGCUUUCGACGGUAGUGUAGUGGACUACCGUGGCGUUAACGGGUAACGGAGAAUUAGGGUUCGAUUCCGGAGAGGGAGCCUGAGAAACGGCUACCACA
rnacentral:rRNA from 1 species